rnacentral:tRNA from 1 species
UGUAUGUAGCUCAGGGGUAGAGCGCUUGCCUUGUAUGUGUGAGGUACUAGGUUCAAUUCUCAGCACUACAU